AACGCGAAGAACCUUACCUGGGCUCGAAGCACAGUGGACCGGGGUAGAAAUAUCCCUUUUCGCAAGAACUGCUGUGGAGGUGCUGCAUGGCUGUCGUCAGCUCGUGUCGUGAGAUGUUGGGUUAAGUCCCGCAACGAGCGCAACCCUUAUUGCCAGUUGCCACCGGGUUAUGCCGAGCACUCUGGCGAAACCGCGCGGGAUAACCGCGAGGAAGGUGGGGAUGACGUCAAGUCCUCAUGGCCUUUAUGUCCAGGGCUACACACGUGCUACAAUGGUCGGUACAAACCGUCGCAAACCCGCGAGGGGGAGCUAAUCGGAAAAAGCCGGACCUCAGUUCGGAUUGGAGUCUGCAACCCGACUCCAUGAAGCUGGAAUCGCUAGUAAUCGCGGAUCAGAACGCCGCGGUGAAUACGUUCCCGGGCCUUGUACACACCGCAUAC
rnacentral:rRNA from 1 species